rnacentral:tRNA from 1 species
CUCAGGACUUUGAAUCCUGCGACCCGAGUUCAAAUCUCGGUGGGACCU